rnacentral:rRNA from 1 species
UACGAACCGAGCGAACGUGGUUCGGAAUCACUGGGCUUAAAGGGCGCGUAGGCGGGUGCUCAAGUCUGUGGGGAAAUCCUCCGGCUCAACCGGAGAACUGCCUCGGAUACUGGGUGUCUCGAGGGUGGUAGGGGUAUGCGGAACUAUCGGUGGAGCGGUGAAAUGCGUUGAUAUCGAUAGGAACUCCGGUGGCGAAGGCGGCAUACUGGACCACUUCUGACGCUGAGGCGCGAAAGCCAGGGGAGCAAACGGG